rnacentral:rRNA from 1 species
AUUGAACGCUGGCGGCAUGCCUUACACAUGCAAGUCGAACGGAUUCAGGGGCUUGCUCCUGAGUUAGUGGCGAACGGGUGAGUAAUGCAUCGGAACGUACCCAGUUGUGGGGGAUAACGUAGCGAAAGUUACGCUAAUACCGCAUACGACCUGAGGGUGAAAGCGGGGGACCGAAAGGCCUCGCGCAAUUGGAGCGGCCGAUGUCAGAUUAGCUAGUUGGUAGGGUAAAAGCCUACCAAGGCGACGAUCUGUGGCUGGUCUGAGAGGACGACCAGCCACAGUGGGACUGAGACACGGCCCAGACUCCUACGGGAGGCAGCAGUGGGGGAUUUUGGACAAUGGGCGCAAGCCUGAUCCAGCAAUGCCGCGUGCAGGAAGAAGGCCUUCGGGUUGUAAACUGCUUUUGUACGGAACGAAACGGUCCGGGUUAAUACCCUGGGCUAAUGACGGUACCGUAAGAAUAAGCACCGGCUAACUACGUGCCAGCAGCCGCCGUAA